rnacentral:misc_RNA from 1 species
GAGAUAAAAAAGUCAUUGAGCGUCCCUCGCACAUAUUUUAUAGGAAGGUAUUGCCUUCCUCUUGCUUUCGGCGACACUUAGCCGUAACUCUUUCUUCCUCCUUCAUCGUAGUAGUGAUAGGGAUAGCCAAGCGAGACAACGUAGCUCUCUCUCGCUCGCUGUGUAGUGUGGGCCGCCCAGAAGGUGAACGCUUUCGCACGCGUAAGCGCGCACCGCACGACUAGAAGUGCUGGUGUGCGCUCAGCCUUUCCCUCUUUUCUUCUUUCCUUUUCCUUCGGCCAGUCAGCAGUAACCCGCACUUCAGCAGUCUUCCAUCACGCAACUUCUCGGCUCCGCCUUACUUGUCUCUUCUCUCAACUUUUUCGUCCUGCGAUAGACAGGAUGUCUUGGCGGGCGCGCUUCACGCCCUGCGUGGGCUCCCUCACAGUGUGGCUGAACCCCAAGGAUCCGAACUGCUUCGGCGUGCGCAACUGGUGGCGCAACAAUCUGCCGGAGCUGCAGCUGCUGAACCCCUUUUGCACGUUCACAAUACAGGAGCUUUCCUUCGGUGAACCGCACAUGUACGUCAACUACACGCCAACAGAUCAGCGCAUGAUCCGGCUAGCCGGGGCGACUGAGGAGGAGUGCGAGGAGAUCAUGGAGGCGUGCAUCACGUAUGGCAUGAACCACGCCAUUAUCGAGCGUCCGCGAACCGACGACGGUGGUGACUUAGUGAACCAACCAGCCAUCACAUCCUUUGGCUACACUGAGAGCUUCACCGCGAAGCUGGAGGUGGCACCGCCUGCGGACAUAGGCCAGAAGACGACGGAGGGCGUCGAUGAUCCAGGCCAGAAGCCGCGCCUCUACCCUCGCAACGUGGGCUGCAAAUUGAUGCCAUAGUGAACCAACUCAUCCAUCCACACAAGCGGAAAGAGCAGCCGGGCUGGGCUCCGCCAUUGCAUGUGAGUGGAUUGCAGUGCGACGUCUCCACAUUCAUCACUCGCGCCCGCCUUUCUUCCACACAGCCUUGCCCCUUUCGCCCCCCCCCCUGAAGCGUGCGUCUGUGGUGCCCUUUCUCUGCCGUUUCUGCUUACCUGCCUGAGAACCAUGAAAAGGAAAGCAACAUCGAGGAGGGCGCACCCCAUUCGCUCGGCGACGAGGGGGGAGGGUGAGCGCUGUGGCACUGCGGUGCGCAGACUCGAACGUGCUGAGCUGGUCAACUGCAUGACAAAGACCGAGAAAACGACAAGCCGGUAUGCACGCGCGUAUGUGUGAGUAUCCUAGAGACGUACUGGAAAGCGAAGGCAACCACGGUGUUAGUGCCCGGCGCGUCUGUGCGCUUCUCUUCUUGUCUUCCCUUUUUGCGCAUCACUCACCAAGCUCAUGCGUCCACCACGUUCAGUGGCGGCAGCAGUUUGAUCUCUCUUCAACAGCCUUCUCUGUUAUUUUAUGGAAGAAGCCAAGAAGAAAGGGCUGAAAAAGGAAAUGCACCGCAAGAGAACGCCGACGCACCUCGCGCCUUAGCACCUCUUCAAGCUUCCUGCUUUCAUCCGCCGCCUCGUCCUGCUUUCAUGCCCACAGGCCAUGGUACUCG